rnacentral:rRNA from 1 species
UACGUAGGGUGCAAGCGUUAUCCGGAAUUAUUGGGCGUAAAGAGCUCGUAGGCGGUUUGUCGCGUCUGCUGUGAAAACCCGAGGCUCAACCUCGGGCCUGCAGUGGGUACGGGCAGACUAGAGUGCGGUAGGGGAGAUUGGAAUUCCUGGUGUAGCGGUGAAAUGCGCAGAUAUCAGGAGGAACACCGGUGGCGAAGGCGGGUCUCUGGGCCGUAACUGACGCUGAGGAGCGAAAGCGUGGGGAGCGAACAGG